rnacentral:rRNA from 1 species
AUGGCUUUAGUACGUGAUCUUUGGUUGCGAAGUAGUUUGGACACGAUGACAGGGCCAAUUUGGCCAUCUAUUGAGGCUGGAAAUUUUGAGUUGAGGCCUGGACUUAUUGCUCUCGUCUUGCAGAAUCAGUUUAGAGGAUUACCCAAUGAAGACCCUCAUGAGCAAUUUGUAAUGUCCUGGAGUAUGCCAAUACAGUCAAGUACCAUGGCGUUUCCCAAGAUGCUAUCAAGUGUAUGUUGUUCACAUUCUCUCUCAGAGAUGCUGCUAAGGACUGGUACUAUUAUUUGCCAUCAAGAUCAUACACUUGGGGUGAUAUUUUCCACUUUACAAGCAAGCUACAAUUCGUGA